GCUGAAAUGAUCAUGAAGAUUCUAGAAUAUUACAUAAACUUAGUUGAUAAAGCAGCUGCAGGACCUGAGAGAAUUGACUCCAAUUUUGAAGGAAGUUCUGCUUUGAGUAAAAUCAGCUAUUAAACAGCACCACAUGCUACAGAGAAAUCAUUUGUGAAAGGAGGAGUCAAUUGAUGUGUCAAAACUUCAUUGUUGUCUUGUUUUAAGUAAUUGCUAUAGCCACUUCAACCAUUAGUGAACACCACCCUAAUCAGUCAGCAGUCAUUAAUGCCAAGGCAAGACCGCCCACCAGCAAAAAGUUUGACUCACUAGGGGUUCAGAUGAUGGUUAGCAUAUUUUAACAAUAAAG